UUAAUGUCCAGGANAGUGGCCCUCCGCAUGGAGGGUUGACUAGAGAUUUAUCGGUAUGGGAUGAGCUUGCGUCCGAUUAGCUAGUUGGCGGGGCAACGGCCCACCAAGGCGACGAUCGGUAGCCGGCCUGAGAGGGUGAUCGGCCACAUUGGGACUGANAUACGGCCCANACUCCUACGGGAGGCAGCAGUAGGGAAUAUUGCACAAUGGGGGAAACCCUGAUGCANCAACGCCACGUGUGGGAAGAANCAUUUCGGUGUGUAAACCACUGUCAUGAGGGAAUAAGGCCCGCCUCCGGGCGGGAUUGAAUGUACCUUGAAAGGAAGCACCGGCAAACUUCGUGCCAGCAGCCGCG
rnacentral:rRNA from 1 species